AUCACAGUGCAUCUUCCGAGCACUGCGAGAUUAAACUGAAACGGACAAUUAAAUAGAGAAUAAUACAUGGUGCGCGGAAAUACCAGAUUUAUUUCGAGUGUUUAACAUGAUAUCUCACGAGUGAGCGCAGCGAACGAGUGAGAUAUCGUGUUCAACACGAGAAAUAAAUCUGGUAUUUCCAAGCACCCAUGUAUUUUUCUGUUUAUUAUAUAAAGGACAGUCUUUGAAAAGCGAUAAUUUUUACAGAAAAGCGAUAAUUGAAAAGCGAUAAUUUUCACAUGUGAGAUUAUU